rnacentral:rRNA from 1 species
CACGUGAGCAACCUACCCUAAAGUGGGGGAUAGCCUUCCGAAAGGAAGAUUAAUACCGCAUGUGGUCUUCGGACCAAAGGUGGCUUCGGCUACCGCUUUAGGAUGGGCUCGCGGCCUAUCAGCUUGUUGGUGAGGUAACGGCUCACCAAGGCACCGACGGGUAGCUGGUCUGAGAGGACGAUCAGCCUCACUGGAACUGAGACACGGUCCAGACACCUACGGGUGGCAGCAGUCGAGAAUCAUUCACAAUGGACGAAAGUCUGAUGGUGCAACGCCGCGUGGAGGAUGACGGUCUUCGGAUUGUAAACUCCUGUCAGAUGGGAGUAAGACCUGGCUGUUAAUAGCCUGAAAGAUUGAUAGUAUUCGAAGAGGAAGGGACGGCUAACUUCGUGCCAGCAGCCGCGGUAAUACGAAGGUCCCAAGCGUUGUUCGGAUUUACUGGGCGUAAAGAGUAUGUAGGCGGCGAGGUAAGUCAGAUGUGAAAUCCCGGGGCUCAACCCCGGAACUGCAUCCGAUACUGCCCUGCUAGAGUAAUGGAGGGGCAACUGGAAUUCUCGGUGUAGCAGUGAAAUGCGUGGAUAUCGAGAGGAACACUCGUGGCGAAGGCGAGUUACUGGACAUUUACUGACGCUGAGGCUCGAAGGCUAGGGGAGCGAAAGGGAUUAGAUACCCCUGUAGUCCUAGCAGUAAACGGUGUGCGCUUGGUGUGAGGGGUUUCGACCCCCCUUGUGCCGGAGCUAACGCGUUAAGCGCACCGCCUGGGAAGUACGGUCGCAAGACUAAAACUCAAAGAAAUUGACGGGGACCCGCACAAGCGGUGGAGUAUGUGGCUUAAUUCGAUGCAACGCGAAGAACCUUACCAGGGCUUGACAUGUAUCGCUAAUCCGGUGAAAGCCGGUGAGACUUCGGUCACUUUACACAGGUGCUGCAUGGCCGUCGUCAGCUCGUGUCGUGAGAUGUUGGGUUAAGUCCAGCAACGAGCGCAACCCCUGUGAAUAGUUGCCAGCACGUAAUGGUGGGGACUCUAUUCAGACUGCCCGGGUCAACCGGGAGGAAGGUGGGGAUGACGUCAGGUCAGUAUGGCCCUUACGCCUUGGGCUGCACACGUACUACAAUGCCCAGUACAAUGAGAACCGAUGCCGCGAGGUGGAGGAAAUCUGCAAAACUGGGCCCAGUUCGGAUUGGAGGCUGCAACUCGCCUCCA